AUUAGGUUGAGUAUGUGCGGA
rnacentral:siRNA from 1 species